rnacentral:rRNA from 1 species
UACAGAGGGUGCAAGCGUUGUUCGGAAUUAUUGGGCGUAAAGCGCGUGUAGGCGGCUUUGCAAGUCGGGUGUGAAAGCCCUCAGCUCAACUGAGGAAGUGCGCCCGAAACUGCAUGAGCUUGAGUGCCUGGAGGAGGGUGGCGGAAUUCCCCAAGUAGAGGUGAAAUUCGUAGAUAUCGGGAGGAACACCGGUGGCGAAGGCGGCGACCUGGACAGUAACUGACGCUGAGACGCGAAAGCGUGGGUAGCAAACAGG